rnacentral:rRNA from 1 species
UGCAUAUCAAUAAGCGGAGGAAAAGAAACCAACAGGGAUUGCCUCAGUAGCGGCGAGUGAAGCGGCAAGAGCUCAGAUUUGAAAUCGUGCUUUGCGGCACGAGUUGUAGAUUGCAGGUUGGAGUCUGUGUGGAAGGCGGUGUCCAAGUCCCUUGGAACAGGGCGCCCAGGAGGGUGAGAGCCCCGUGGGAUGCCGGCGGAAGCAGUGAGGCCCUUCUGACGAGUCGAGUUGUUUGGGAAUGCAGCUCCAAGCGGGUGGUAAAUUCCAUCUAAGGCUAAAUACUGGCGAGAGACCGAUAGCGAACAAGUACUGUGAAGGAAAGAUGAAAAGCACUUUGAAAAGAGAGUGAAACAGCACGUGAAAUUGUUGAAAGGGAAGGGUAUUGCGCCCGACAUGGGGAUUGCGCACCGCUGCCUCUCGUGGGCGGCGCUCUGGGCUUUCCCUGGGCCAGCAUCGGUUCUUGCUGCAGGAGAAGGGGUUCUGGAACGUGGCUCUUCGGAGUGUUAUAGCCAGGGCCAGAUGCUGCGUGCGGGGACCGAGGACUGCGGCCGUGUAGGU